rnacentral:rRNA from 1 species
GACGAACGCUGGCGGCGUGCUUAACACAUGCAAGUCGAACGGAAAAGCCCUGCUUUUGUGGGGUUCUCGAGUGGCGAACAGGUGAGUAUCACGUGAGUAACCUGCCCUUCACUUUGGGAUAACUUCAGGAAACUCGGGCUAAUACCGGAUAUGAGCUCCUGCUGCAUGGUUGUUGUGGUAGAGUUUCGGCGGUUGGGGAUGGACUCGCGGCUUAGCAGCGUGUUGGUGGGGUAGUGGCUUACCAAGGCUUUGACGGGUAGCCGGCUUGAGAGGGUGACAGGCCACAUUGGGACUGAGAUACGAGCCAGAGUCCUACGGGAGGAAGGAGUGGGGAACAUUGCAAGAUGGGCGGAAGCAGGAUGCAGCAACGCCGCGUGGGGGAUGACGGCCUUCGGGUUGUAACCCGCUUUCGCCUGUGACGAAGCGUGAGUGACGGUAAUGGGUAAAGAAGCAACGGCUAACUACGUG